rnacentral:rRNA from 1 species
AGCGAACGCUGGCGGCAGGCCUAACACAUGCAAGUCGAACGAUCCUUCGGGAUAGUGGCGGACGGGUGAGUAACACGCGGGAACGUACCUUUAGGUUCGGGAUAACUCAGGGAAACUUGAGCUAAUACCGGAUGUGCCCUCCGGGGGAACGAUUUAUCGCCUUUAGAGCGGCCCGCGUUAGAUUAGCUAGUUGGUGAGGUAAAGGCUCACCAAGGCUCCGAUCUAUAGCUGGUCUGAGAGGAUGAUCAGCCACACUGGGACUGAGACACGGCCCAGACUCCUACGGGAGGCAGCAGUGGGGAAUCUUGCGCAAUGGGCGAAAGCCUGACGCAGCCAUGCCGCGUGAAUGAUGAAGGUCUUAGGAUUGUAAAAUUCUUUUAGCAGGGACGAUAAUGACGGUACCUGCAGAAAAAGCCCCGGCUAACUUCGUGCCAGCCGCCGCGGUAA